GAUGCGAGAAGCACGCAUAAUCCGUGUUCGUUUUUUCGUGGUUUUCGGUACAUUUUAAUAUUAUUCGCUGUAAUAUACUCGAAUUUUAUUUCGGCAAAACAAAAUGUUUUUGUAGCAUUUUAAUGAAAUUAAACAAAAGCCAAGUGCAUCCCAUCAACAAUAAUGAUAAGGGAAAAUUUGAUUGUGUCUCGAAAGUGUGAAAGUGUUAGUGUGUAGUGGGGCUCCAAAUGCAGCAAUAGCGGCAGCAGCAGCAUAAAAAAGCAAUUGUUUUAUAUUUUUGCAAAUGUACUUUGUUUUGGUUUUUUCAACAACAACAAUUGAAAAUCUCAAUUAAAUAGAUACAAAAUUUUAAAAUAGGGCCAGAAAUGUGCAAUCUUUCUGAAUAUGAAAAUGAAAAAAAUUUUAAAUACAUAGUAGCUUGUAAAUACUAAUGUCGUCGUGGAGUAUUUAUUGAUUGAAGUUAAUGCCAGCAAACAAAAUAUACACAACAUUUCAUUGACAAAGAAAACCAAAGCACUUAACCAAAAGCUAAAUUGUAAAAAUAAUAGUAAAGUGAAAAAACAAAUGUUUUCCUUCUCUCGGCAGUAAUGUAUUUGAUGCUAAAAUAUAAACCUAAAAGCAUCCUUCAAAAAUUUAAAUGCCCCUCCUUUUUCAGGGGCUAGUGGGAGCUCCAUCUGCAACAUAAAAAACCUAUUACAUACAAAUCAAAGGCCAUAAAAGAAAACUGUUUUGCUGCCUAAUAAAGUGUUGGAGGUGGUGUAGUGUAUCCGCAAUUUGGAGAGCAACGAGUGAGAGAGUGCAUGUGUAUGGCUCCAACAAUGGUGCCAAAGUGAGAAUAAAGAAAUAUUUACAUACAGUUGUCAAAUCUAGCUUAUUGACAAAUUGCAGACAAUUAAUAAAGAAAAUUGAAGUGAAUUUGUGAAUUAAAAAUAAUUUUGUGAAUUUAAAGAAGAAAAUUUUUAAUGGAUUAACUAUAUCACUACUUUUGCCAGGACUUGGUUAUCUAUUCUAUGUCAAAGGUCAUUGGAUAUUUACAACUUGACAAUGUUGUGAUUUUAUCAAAGCUGAAGAAAUAUUUUCUUAAAUAUACAUCCAAGCACCAUGUACUAGGAAAUACAUACAAUUCAUGGUAUUUGUUAUAAUUGAAAUUGUCGGUUUCUUUUAAACUAAUCACCAAAAUACCAUCACGUUUACAAUUUAUGUCAUAAUGGGACGGACGAGCACCACAGCUACAUAAAGGUA
rnacentral:sRNA from 14 species